GGAUGUGAGGGCGAUCUGGCUGCGACAUCUGUCACCCCAUUGAUCGCCAGGGUUGAUUCGGCUGAUCUGGCUGGCUAGGCGGGUGUCCCCUUCCUCCCUCACCGCUCCAUGUGCGUCCCUCCUGAAGCUGCGCGCUCUGUCGAAGAGGACGACCAUCCCCAAUAGAGGAGGACCGGUCUUCGGUCAAGAGUAUACGAGUAGCUGCGCUCCCCUGCUAGAACCUCCAAACAAGCUCUCAAGAAUCGCUUGAACCUAGAAGGCGGAGGUUUCAGUGAGCUGAGAUUAUGCCACUGCAUUCCAGCAUGGGUGACAGAGUGAGACU
rfam:Pongo abelii chromosome 16.